CCAAUAGCGUAUAUUAAAGUUGUUGCAGUUAAAAAGCUCGUAGUUGAACUUCGGGAUCAAUUAGUUGGUCAUGCCUUGGUAUGUACUGACUUUAUUGGUUCUCACCUUCUAAAGAACUAUAAUGUCAUUUAUUUGAUGUUAUAGGGAAUUAGGACUGUUACCUUGAAAAAAUUAGAGUGUUUAAAGCAGGCUCACGCUUGAAUACAUUAGCAUGGAAUAAUGAAAUAGGACAUCGCAUUCUAUUUUGUUGGUUUCUAGGAUCGAUGUAAUGAUUAAUAGGGAUAGUUGGGGGCAUUAGUAUUCAAUUGUCAGAGGUGAAAUUCUUGGAUUUAUUGAAGACUAACUACUGCGAAAGCAUUUGCCAAGGAUGUUUUCAUUAAUCAAGAACGAAAGUUAGGGGAUCGAAGACGAUCAGAUACCGUCGUAGUCUUAACCAUAAACUAUGCCGACUAGGGAUCGGAUGAUGUUGAUUUUUUAAUGACUCAUUCGGCACCUUACG
rnacentral:rRNA from 1 species